UACGUAGGGGGCAAGCGUUGUCCGGAAUCAUUGGGCGUAAAGCGCGUGUAGGCGGCUCGAUAAGUCUGCUGUGAAAGUCCAAGGCUCAACCUUGGGAUGCCGGUGGAUACUGUCGAGCUCGAGUCCGGAAGAGGAGUGUGGAAUUCCUGGUGUAGCGGUGAAAUGCGCAGAUAUCAGGAGGAACACCGGAGGCGAAAGCGGUCCACUGGGCAACUUCUGACGCUGAGGUGACGAAAGCUAGGGGUAGCAAACGGG
rnacentral:rRNA from 1 species